ACGGGACCCGCACAAGCGGUGGAUGAUUGUGGUUUAAUUCGAUGCAACGCGAAAAACCUUACCCACCUUUGACAUGGCAGGAAUCCUAAAGAGAUUUGGAGUGCUCGAAAGAGAACCUGCACACAGGUGCUGCAUGGCUGUCGUCAGCUCGUGUCGUGAGAUGUUGGGUUAAGUCCCGCAACGAGCGCAACCCUUGCCAUUAGUUGCUACGAAAGGGCACUCUAAUGGGACUGCCGGUGACAAACCGGAGGAAGGUGGGGAUGACGUCAAGUCCUCAUGGCCCUUAUAGGUGGGGCUACACACGUCAUACAAUGGCCGGUACAGAGGGUAGCCAACCCGCGAGGGGGAGCCAAUCCCACAAAGCCGGUCGUAGUCCGGAUCGCAGUCUGCAACUCGACUGCGUGAAGUCGGAAUCGCUAGUAAUCGCGGAUCAGCAUGUCGCGGUGAAUACGUUCCCGGGUCUU
rnacentral:rRNA from 1 species